rnacentral:rRNA from 1 species
UAGGGAAUCUUCGGCAAUGGGGGGAACCCUGACCGAGCAACGCCGCGUGAGUGAAGAAGGUUUUCGGAUCGUAAAGCUCUGUUGUUAAGGAAGAACGAGUGUGAGAAUGGAAAGUUCAUACUGUGACGGUACUUAACCAGAAAGGGACGGCUAACUACGUGCCAGCAGCCGCGGUAAUACGUAGGUCCCGAGCGUUGUCCGGAUUUAUUGGGCGUAAAGCGAGCGCAGGCGGUUAGAAAAGUCUGAAGUGAAAGGCAGUGGCUCAACCAUUGUAGGCUUUGGAAACUGUUUAACUUGAGUGCAGAAGGGGAGAGUGGAAUUCCAUGUGUAGCGGUGAAAUGCGUAGAUAUAUGGAGGAACACCGGUGGCGAAAGCGGCUCUCUGGUCUGUAACUGACGCUGAGGCUCGAAAGCGUGGGGAGCGAACAGGAUUAGAUACCCUGGUAGUCCACGCCGUAACGAUGAGUGCUAGGUGUUGGGUCCUUUCCGGGGCUCAGUGCCGCAGCUAACGCAUUAAGCACUCCGCCUGGGGAGUACGACCGCAAGGUUG